CAUACUUAUCAUUAGAUAUGAAAGCUAUUUUCAAUGCAAUGUUUCUCCAGAAAGAAAAACAGAAAUUUAUAGAAUUGAUCUAUUCAAUUAUAACACAAUUCAGAAGAAAUGAUACAUCAGAUAUAUGUUGGGAAAUUUGGCAAUUAAAAUUAAUGAACAUUAGCAAGGCAUUAAUAGUGAAACUAUGUUGACUGCCACAUUAAGGAGAGCAUACCAAUAUAAGGUGGAUGUGCUAUGGGAUGAAGUAAAGAUUAUUAAAACAGUAAGGAACAUGAGACAAGGGUUAACAGCUGAGGCACUCAUUAUCUACCAAGAAAAACUGGAGAGGGAUGCAGUCUUGAAUGAAAAUGAUCUGAAUUGCACUUGGAGAUGGUAUCAUUUUAAUAAUGGCUGAAUUGAGCAUACACUGUUUUUCCCAUAGGCAC
rnacentral:lncRNA from 1 species